UACGUAGGGGGCAAGCGUUGUCCGGAAUCAUUGGGCGUAAAGAGCGUGUAGGCGGUUCGGUAAGUCGGCUGUGAAAGUCCAGGGCUCAACCCUGGGAUGCCGGUCGAUACUGCCGGACUAGAGUUCGGAAGAGGCGAGUGGAAUUCCCGGUGUAGCGGUGAAAUGCGCAGAUAUCAGGAGGAACACCCGUGGCGAAAGCGGCUCUCUGGGACGGUACUGACGCUGAGACGCGAAAGCGUGGGUAGCAAACAGG
rnacentral:rRNA from 1 species